AUGGCUUUGUUGGGUGCAAUAUUUCUUUCGAGACUACAAACCUGGUAAUUGGAAUAGCUUAAUUUAUAGCGAGUCGAUUCUUGCCCUUCGUGGGGAACAAUGUCAUUUCCCACUGAUUGCCUAUUUGAACAUGUGGUAUCUCGUUUCAUUUUCCCUAACUCACCAGUAAAUGGUCCGUCAAUCUGUAUGUUCAGUUUGGCCGCUCUGCUAGCUCGUGGUAUGCAGGUUCCCUUGCUUCUCUCUUCUUAGGGACUUUAUAUUAUUGUUUAAAUGAAGCUGCUCUUUCUAUAUAAAGGAAUCCGUCAGAAGGUAGUCAUUUCUAACUUUUACUCAUUCAGACAAUUAUUAUCUUUUUACAUUGUAUUUUCUUUUCACACAUCACCUUUUGUAAUACCCGUAAAUUUUAUAAAUAAUAUUAAUAGUGGAAAUAAAAUGUUUGAAUAUUUAUAUAUAUUAUGUGACAUGAAAUGUGAUAAAUUAAUUCGAAUUGAAUUAAAUCAAGUAUGUGAUGAGUAAGUAAUGUGGUGGAAAUGAUGAUAAGCUUAAUUAAGCUUAUGUGAUAUGCCUUGUGUGGCAUGAUAGACGAUUAAGUAAUUAUUGGAUUAAAAUUAGUGAAAUAGUGAAUAAAUAUUGUGUUGGAUUAAUAAUUAUUUCUUGUACUAUUAUUAUUAUUAGUACUAUCAUUAUUUUCUAAUUAAUUGUUGUUAAGUGUAACCAUAUGUGAUAUAUCUAGUAAUUUCUUAAUUUAAAUUAAUGAAGGAAUGAUUUACUGGAAAGAAUUAAUUGGUGUUAUUUUACUAAUUGCUACAUGUGUGGCGUAAGCAUAUAAUUAAUUCAUAAAGUUUCCUCAUGAAUAAAAUAUAAUUUGGGACAUUAAAGUUUAUGGGAAAUAAUGGAUUGUUAAUAUUCAACCAAUUUAUAUUCUAACACAAUUCAAUAUUAGUGGGACUAACCCAAUGUACAUGGAUUAUAUGAUUAUGUGUAUAUAUGCCAUAACUUGUCACAGGGUAAUUAUAUUAACUCACUAAAAUUGCACUUGUAAGCCAAAAAGGAAUUAACCUUAGUAUAUGAGGCACAUGUUACUGGUGAAUAAGGAAGUAACAUAGUUGUCCCAAAAUUAGUGUCACUUUUAUUUAACUGCCGAGAUUAGGCCAUUGGCCUAUCCUACACUUCUUCACUGUGCAUAGCUAUUAUAAUGAGCUGAAGAAUGGGGGAGAGGGAGUAGCUAACUUCUUUCCACCAAACCUCUAUGAACCAUCAUUUUGUUCUUCUUCCUGCUGAUAAGUGGGUUUUAUACCCACGAAUCGGCUCCUAAUUCAAGCUUAAUGGGUGUUAAUUCCUUGAUUUUAUGUUUUGUUUUUACGUGUUUAAUGUUGUUUUGUGUUUAGGAUUGGUGGAGUGCAUAUUGGACAAAUAGGAUGGAGUUUUGGUAGAACUUGGCAAGUUUAGAGCUCAAGUGGACAUGUAUUAGCAGAACAUAUGCCAGCUGGGGCUGGCUCUUUUAUGCCUAAUACCUCAGCCGGGGCUGGGGGUACUAAAGUUUGUUAACAACAGCAUAGCAAGCCGGGGCUGACCCUUUUAUGCAUAACACCCCAGCCUGGGCUGGGGGUCUUGAUAUCAGUUAGCAGUGCAUAUGCCAGUCGGGGCUGGCUUGUUACAUAGCAACACCCCAGCUGGGGCCGGGGUACGGGGAUGUGAAGACUCCUAGUUGGUUUCAAAUGUUGCAAAAACGUGAGCUUAAGUGUUUGGGAUGGCAUGGAACUCAUAAUUGCGAGGAAUUAGAGUUUGAAUGUGUUUCUAAGCGUAUAAUUAACAACAAACAACAAGAUUGAAGAGACACAAGACAAUUAACAUCAUUGAAGACAGAUUUUAGAGCAAGAGCAUUGGAGAGAGUUUUUGAAGGAAUUCUCACGCAAUUGCAGAUUAAGCUAUAAAAAAGGGUGGUUCUGGAUUUAUUCUUCUUAUUUAGUUUAAUACUUGUAAUUGGGAUGAUGUUUUCUUUAAUUAAUUUAGUUUUUAUUUCAUUGAUGAUGAACUAAAUUACUUUUUAGGCUUAUGAUGGAUCUUUAAGUGGAACGAUGAUUAUGUAACUUUGAUUUUCAGUUUAAUAAGCUAUUCCUCAG
rnacentral:lncRNA from 1 species